rnacentral:rRNA from 1 species
GACGAACGCUGGCGGCGUGCUUAACACAUGCAAGUCGAACGAAGAGCGAUGGAAGCUUGCUUCUAUCAAUCUUAGUGGCGAACGGGUGAGUAACGCGUAAUCAACCUGCCCUUCAGAGGGGGACAACAGUUGGAAACGACUGCUAAUACCGCAUACGAUCUAAUCUCGGCAUCGAGGAUAGAUGAAAGGUGGCCUCUACAUGUAAGCUAUCACUGAAGGAGGGGAUUGCGUCGGAUUAGCUAGUUGGAGGGGUAACGGCCCACCAAGGCGAUGAUCAGUAGCCGGUCUGAGAGGAUGAACGGCCACAUUGGGACUGAGACACGGCCCAGACUCCUACGGGAGGCAGCAGUGGGGAAUCUUCCGCAAUGGACGAAAGUCUGACGGAGCAACGCCGCGUGAGUGAUGACGGCCUUCGGGUUGUAAAGCUCGGUUAAUCGGGACGAAAGGCCUUCUUGCGAAUAGGGAGAAGGAUUGACGGUACCGGAAGAGAAAGCCACGGCUAACUACGUG